GUAUUCAGCGUUGUCGACGGCAAAAUGGGAUACUGCGAGCAAGGUGCAUUUGGCCCCGAAGGCCAGUUUUUCGGUGUGGUCUCCAAGUGUGUUGCCGUUAAGGAUGGUAACUCUGCAGAUCUCUGGUGAAAGACCUCUGGUGAACGGAAGACCCCCCUGCUCUCCUCUGAUGUGCAGAUGCUUCGACUGCACCCCCCAUCUCUGCUGGGGAAGAAACCGCUUUGCUUGAUGCUGCUGAAGGCGAUUCUGGGAAGGGGUCAAUUGGGACCUAUCCUGUCUGCCUGUCUACUCAUGAGUAAGCCCAAUUGUUCCGAAUGGGGCCUGACUCCUUAGUAAGUGGGCUUGGGCUUGGAGCUUGGAUUUGGUUUGCCUGCAAAACUGCUUUAGCUUCUUCUUUUUAAUAAAUGCAAGCAUUGGAAAC